UCCCGUUUAGCUCAGUUGGUAGAGCGCGUCACUAGUACCUUCGGCUGCUCAGCUUGGUGCAAUGACGAGGUCAGUCGUUCGAGUCGGCUAAUGGGAA